rnacentral:snoRNA from 1 species
ACGCAUCUCUGAUAGACCUUGAGCAGUUAAUGUCUGCUGCUAAGGUUUCCACUACAGAUGCAAGAGAAAGAAAGUCCUUGCACUUUCUGUCUGUCUGGUUGCAGCAGCCAAGAUUGAAUGGGGGAAUACAGGA